rnacentral:rRNA from 1 species
UCCGGUUGAUCCUGGCCAGUAGCAUAUGAUUGUUGUCUCAAAAGUUGAAGCCAUGCAUGAUAUAGUCCACACCGGCUGGAAAAGUGAAUGGGAAUGGCUCAUUAAAUCAGUUUAUGGUGUCCUUUGUCGUCUCCCGCUACUUGGGAUAACUGUGCAAUUCUAGAGCUAAUACCAUGCAAACGAGCGCUGACCUCGGGAUGCGUGCAUAUUAUCAGACCUAAAAACCUGCGCGGGGGCGUUUUCGCACGCGUGCGCCCCCGGCCUGUUUGGUGACUCUAGAUAACCUUGGCCCGAUCGCUCGCGCCCUCGCGGCGGCGACGACUUCAUUCGAAUGUCGCCCUAUCAACUUUCGAAUGGUUACUCUAUGUGCCUACCAUGGUGACCACGGGUAACGCUGGAAUCAGGUUUCGUUCCGGAAGAGGAGCCUGAGAAUAUGGCUACCACAUCCAAGGAGGCAGCAGCGCGCAAAGUUACCCAUUCACGAUUCGUGAGAAUGUAGUGACGGAAAAAAUAACAAUACAGGACUCUUCGCGGGCCCUGUAAUUGGAAUAUGAGUGUACUUUAAAAUCCUGUUGGCCCAGUACCCAAUUGAGGGCAAGUCUGGUGCAGCAGCCGCGGUAAUUCCAGCUCAAUAGCGUAUCUUAAAGUUUGCUGGCAGUUAAAAAGCUCGUAGUGGGAUCUCGGGGGCCGGCUGACGGUCCGCCGAAAGCGUGCCACCGACUGUCCCGGCCUGCCUCGCGCGCCCCCUUCGAUGCUUCUUGUUUGAGGCUGUCUUGCGGGUUCGAGCAGCUUUACUUUGAAAAAAAUUAGAAGUGUUCAAAGCAAGGCCCAGUUGCAGAACGAAUACUGCAGCUAGGAUAAUUGAAUAGGACUCCGGUUCUAUUUUGUUGGUUUUCUCAAUGGACUGGGGCCAUGAUCAAGAGGGACGGCCGGGGCAUUCGUAUUGCGUCGCUAGGAGGUGAAUUCUUGGACCGGCGCAAAGAACGAACGAAGAGCGAAAGCAUUUGCCCAAGAAUGUUUCAUUAAUCAAGAACGAAGUCGGAGGUUUCGAAGACGAUCAGAUACCGUUCGUAGUUCCCGACCAUAUAAACGUUGCGGACUGCGAUCCGGCGGCGUUAUUCCCAUGACCCGCCGGGGAGCUACCCGGAAAAACAAAGUCUUUGGGGUUCCGGGGGGAGUACUUGGUGCAAAGCUGAACUUAAAGGAAUUGACCGGAAGAGGGCACCACCAGGAGUGGAGCCUGCGGCUUAAUUGACCUCACACGGGAAACCUCACCCGGCCCCGGACACGGAAAGGAUUUGACAGAUUGAUAGCCUCUUUCUCGAUACUGUGGGUGUGGUGCAUGGCCGUGUUCGUAGUUGGUGGGGGCGAUUUGUGCUGGUUUAAGUCCGACAACGAACGAGACUCUGGCAGGCUAAAUAGUUACGGCGCCCGUGCGGGUCGGCGUCCAGAACUUCUUAGAAGGACAAGUGGCGUACAGCCACGAGAUGAGCAAAUAACAGGUCUGUGAUGCCCUUAAUAUGUCCGGGGGCUGCCCGCGCGCGCACACUGAAGCGAUCAGCGUCGUGCCUCGCCCUCGCCGACCGUACAGGCGUGGGAUAACCCGCUGAACCCCCGUGUGAUGGGGAUUGGGAUUGCAACUAUUUGUCCCAUGAACGAGGAAUUCCCAGUAAAGCAACGUCACAAGCUCGUGUGACUUAAGUCCCUUGCCCUUUGCUACACACCGCCCGUCGCUAUACUGCGAUUGGAUGGCUUAGUGAGGUCCCUCGGAUCGGCCCCGCCGGAGAGUCUUCCACGGCCUCUGGCGCGCGUGCCGGAGAAGACGAUCCAACUUGACUAUCUAGAGGAAGUAAAAGUCGUAAACCAAGGUUUCCGUAGGUGUGAACCUGCGGAAG